AUUGAACGCUGGCGGCAGGCCUAACACAUGCAAGUCGAGCGGCAGCGGGAAAGUAGCUUGCUACUUUUGCCGGCGAGCGGCGGACGGGUGAGUAAUGCCUGGGGAUCUGCCCAGUCGAGGGGGAUGACUACUGGAAACGGUAGCUAAUACCGCAUACGCCCUACGGGGGAAAGCAGGGGACCUUCGGGCCUUGCGCGAUUGGAUGAACCCAGGUGGGAUUAGCUAGUUGGUGAGGUAAUGGCUCACCAAGGCGACGAUCCCUAGCUGGUCUGAGAGGAUGAUCAGCCACACUGGAACUGAGACACGGUCCAGACUCCCACGGGAGGCAGCAGUGGGGAAUAUUGCACAAUGGGGGAAACCCUGAUGCAGCCAUGCCGCGUGUGUGAAGAAGGCCUUCGGGUUGUAAAGCACUUUCAGCGAGGAGGAAAGGUUGGUAGCUAAUAACUGCCAGCUGUGACGUUACUCGCAGAAGAAGCACCGGCUAACUCCGUGCCAGCCGCCGCAGUAAGAC
rnacentral:rRNA from 1 species